CAGACGCAUCGCGGCUGUUUUGCUGAACAAAAAACAUAAUGUUCUCCCUAUGUCGAAGAUAUAAAGACGAACAUGAGCACGGCGGCACACAAGUCAAGGGAGGCUACAUGCUACGGUACAAACGAAAAUAUCUAUGGAAUACGUGGUCGGAGGAAUGGGUGGUGCUUUAUGAUGAUUCUACAAUGGCCUGGUUUAAGG